rnacentral:rRNA from 1 species
GGGCAAGUCUGGUGCCAGCAGCCGCGGUAAUUCCAGCUCCAAUAGCGUAUAUUAAAGUUGUCGCAGUUAAAAAGCUCGUAGUUGAAUUUCGGGGUCAGUAGGUCGGUCAUGCUACCGGUAUGUGCUGGCUUUACUGAUCCCUCCUUCUUGAAGAACUGUGAUGUCAUUAAUUUGGUGCUGCAGGGAAUCAGGACUGUUACUUUGAAAAAAUUAGAGUGUUUAAAGCAGGCUAACGCUUGAAUACAUUAGCAUGGAAUAAUAAAAUAGGACGUUCGACCCUAUUUUGUUGGUUUCUAGGAUUGACGUAAUGAUUAAUAGGGAUAGUUGGGGGCAUUAGUAUUCAAUUGUUAGAGGUGAAAUUCUUGGAUUUAUUGAAGACUAACUACUGCGAAAGCAUUUGCCAAGGAUGUUUUCAUUAAUCAAGAACGAAAGUUAGGGGACCGAAGACGAUCAGAUACCGUCGUAGUCUUAACCAUAAACUAUGCCGACUAGGGAUCGGAUGAUGUUAAUUUUUUAAUGACUCAUUCGGCGCCUUACGGGAAAC